rnacentral:rRNA from 1 species
UACGUAGGGGGCAAGCGUUGUCCGGAUUUAUUGGGCGUAAAGCGCGUGUAGGCGGCCAGAUAGGUCUGCUGUGAAAACUCGAGGCUCAACCUCGAGCUGUCGGCGGAAACCAUCUGGCUAGAGUCCGGAAGAGGGGAGUGGAAUUCCUGGUGUAGCGGUGAAAUGCGCAGAUAUCAGGAAGAACACCUAUGGCGAAGGCAGCUCUCUGGGACGGUACUGACGCUGAGACGCGAAAGCGUGGGGAGCGAACAGG